UGCCCGCGAGGGAGCCCUAGCACAGGUGCUGCAUGGCCGUCGUCAGCUCGUGCCGUGAGGUGUUGGGUUAAGUCCCGCAACGAGCGCAACCCCGCCGUUAGUGCCAGCGGUUCGGCCGGGCACUCUAACGGGACUGCCCGCGAAAGCGGGAGGAAGGAGGGGACGACGUCUGGUCAGCAUGGCCCUUACGGCCUGGGCGACACACGUGCUACAAUGCCCACUACAAAGCGAUGCCACCCGGCAACGGGGAGCUAAUCGCAAAAAGGUGGGCCCAGUUCGGAUUGGGGUCUGCAACCCGACCCCAUGAAGCCGGAAUCGCUAGUAAUCGCGGAUCAGCCAUGCCGCGGUGAAUACGUUCCCGGGCCUU
rnacentral:rRNA from 1 species